AACGAACGCUGGCGGCAGGCCUAACACAUGCAAGUCGAACGGAUGUAGCAAUACAUUAGUGGCGCACGGGUGCGUAACACGUGGGAAUGUACCCUCUGGUAAGGAAUAAUAUUUGGAAACGAAUACUAAUACCUUAUAAUAUCUUCGGAUCAAAGAUUUAUCGCCAGAGGAUCAGCCCGCGUCUGAUUAGCUAGUUGGUGAGGUAAUGGCUCACCAAGGCGACGAUCAGUAGCUGGUCUGAGAGGAUGAUCAGCCACACUGGGACUGAGACACGGCCCAGACUCCUACGGGAGGCAGCAGUGAGGAAUAUUGCGCAAUGGAGGAAACUCUGACGCAGCCAUGCCGCGUGAGUGAAGAAGGCCUUAGGGUUGUAAAGCUCUUUCAAUGGUGAAGAUAAUGACGGUAGCCAUAGAAGAAGCCCCGGCUAAAUUCGUGCCAGCCGCCGCCGUAA
rnacentral:rRNA from 1 species